CCAUCAAGGCCAGGUGCAAGCCAUUAGUAUUAAUUGAACUUCUUUUGCGUGGAAGAAGAGGUAAGACUCAUACAGAAUCUCUUAAGACAUUUAAGUACAUAUUGAUUUGUAAUUCUGAAGAAUGUUGUAGGUUACUUGAUGUUUGGAUGCACCAAAGCAUCUGAUUUGCUUCAGUUUAGCUAGUUAUCACCAACCAUCUUAGUCAGUGUACCAGAGUUUAAAGGGAAGGUGGCUCACUCCAGAAUUAGACAAAACUGUAUUUGGACAUUUUCUGUGCAUCAGAGAUGUCAGCAACAAGGUCUCAGAGAGCAAAAAGAAAUCCCAAACAUGAUGCCAGCUAUUAUUCUCCUUGGGUGAAGAUAAUGAGGGAUUUGAUGUAAAAUACAUCAAUUCAUUUAAAGGUCGGGGUGUGUUCAGCUGCCAGUGCUUUCAAAAAGGAGAUUUCCUUAUUGAGUGCAGAGGGGAAGUCAUAAGUAGGAAGGAACAAGAAAACCGAUUGAAAAUUUACCAUGAUGCACUCCAGGCUUUUAUGUUUGAUUUCAAGUUCAAUGGACAACAGCUUUGUGUUGAUGCUGCCAGAGAACAUGGAUCAUUGGGGAGGCUGGUAAAUGAUGAAGAGAUGAACACAAACAACAAAAUGAAAGUUACAAGGGUGGAUGGAAGACGUCAUCUCUGUUUGUUUGCACUCAAAGAUAUUGGUCCAGGGGAAGAAAUGACUUAUAAUUGUAGUGAUUCUGACUGGCUAUGGAGAAGAAGGGUACUA